rnacentral:rRNA from 1 species
GAGUUUGAUCUUGGCUCAGAUUGAACGCUGGCGGCAGGCCUAACACAUGCAAGUCGAGCGGAUGACGGGAGCUUGCUCCUUGAUUCAGCGGCGGACGGGUGAGUAAUGCCUAGGAAUCUGCCUGGUAGUGGGGGACAACGUUUCGAAAGGAACGCUAAUACCGCAUACGUCCUACGGGAGAAAGCAGGGGACCUUCGGGCCUUGCGCUAUCAGAUGAGCCUAGGUCGGAUUAGCUAGUUGGUGGGGUAAUGGCUCACCAAGGCGACGAUCCGUAACUGGUCUGAGAGAAUGAUCAGUCACACUGGAACUGAGACACGGUCCAGACUCCUACGGGAGGCAGCAGUGGGGAAUAUUGGACAAUGGGCGAAAGCCUGAUCCAGCCAUGCCGCGUGUGUGAAGAAGGUCUUCGGAUUGUAAAGCACUUUAAGUUGGAGGAAGGCAGUAAGUUAAUACCUUGCUGUUUUGACGUUACCGACAGAAUAAGCACCGGCUAACUCUGUGCCAGCAGCCG